rnacentral:lncRNA from 1 species
CAUUUCUUCUUACUUCCUUUUUAUUUAGAGGGGCCCUUUCAAUAUUUUUUUUUGAAUGGGUUUAAUAUUGUUGUACUUUUUUAGUUUUCAUUUGUUACGGAAAUUCUUUAUUUUUCCUUCUAUUUUAAAUGAUACUCUUGCUGUGUAGAGUAUCCUAGGCUGCAAAUUUUUCCCUUUAAAAACUUUGAAUAUGUCUUGCCACUCUCUUCUGGCCUCUAGUGUUUCUGUAAAGAAAUCAGCUGAUAGCCUUAUGGUGGCUCCCUUAUAAUUAACUCUUUAUUUUUUUCUUGCUGACUUUAGAAUCCUCUAACUUUUGCCAUUUUUAUUAUAUUAUGUCUUGGUGUGAACCUGUUGGGUUCAACUUGUUUGGGGCCUUCUUGUGCUUCCUGUUUCUUGAUAUCUGUUUCCUUUAGAUUCGGCAAGUUUUCAACCAUAAUUUCUUCAAAUGUACUUUCAAACCCCUUUUCUUUUUCUUCUCCUUCUGGAAUCCCUAUCAUGUGUAGAUUGCCGGCUUUAUAUUAUCCCGUAGAUCUCUUAUAUUGCUUUUAUGUUUUCUGUCUGCUGGCCCGAUCGGGUGAGUUACAUUAUUCUGUCUUCCAAGUCACUAAUUUAUUCCUCUACAUUAUCCAUUUUGCUCUUCAAUGCCUUUAACUCAGCUUGCAUCUCUGCAAAUGAAUUUUCUAACUUUUCUUGGCUCCUCCUUAUAUUUUCUAGUUCCUUUCUAAGGUAAUCUGCAUUACUGUUCAUAUCUGCUCUUAAUUCCUUCAUUCACUCUUAAUUGCUUCAGUAUUUUCACUAUCUCCUUUUUGCACUGGUGUCUGUUAGAAUACAGAGGUCUGUUUAAUUUUUUGCUGCUUCAGGUGAAUUUUCUUGUCCUUUUACCUGGGAAUAGUUCCUGAGCUUCUUAACUUUACUUAUAUUUUUCUUAUUCUGUGAGUUUAGGGAAAACAACUACUGUAGUCUUGGAGGGCUAUUUAUAUGUGCAAGUACGCCUAGGUAUUUUGUGAGAGCUUGCUUCUUAUUUAAUUAAUUUAUUUGCUUUUUUAGGGCCACACCCACAGCAUAUGGAAGUUCCCAGGCUAGGGGUCUAAUCGGAGCUGUAGCAGCAACACAGGAUCUGAGCCACAUCUGUGACCUACACCACAGCUCACGGCAACACCGGAUCCUUAACCCACUGAGUGAGGCAAGAUCAAACCUGCAUCCUCUUGGAUACUAAUCAGAUUCAUUUCCACUGUGUCGCGAUGGGAACUCCUUACUUUUUACUUUUAAAGUGCUCCAAGUGCUUCCAGGGAGAUGGAGGCAAUGGGCAGGACUAGUAGCUAAUCCCUGGUUGCUGGGCCCUUGACACUGGCAAGGAACCCACAGGAAGGUGGCGCAGGCUGCUCCUAGUUGCAGGGCCCUGGGAAGUGACAGUGAUCAGUCAAGUGUAGGCGGUGCCCAGAGCAUCUGGCAGCAGCAGCAGCAGGCUGGGUGUGUUACCAGGGGAGUUAGAGUGACAAUGGAGGCGCACAGGCAAAGGUCCUCCCCAUUAAUACUUGUGUCCUUCCAAGGGUCUCUUGCACAGCGGGACCCUGUCAUUCCAGGGUCAUCAGGCCACUGCUGAUGACUUGUUCCAGAGUCUUGAAGUCUGAGUUGGCUAAUUGCUCCUCAGUUCAAAAGUCCCACCUGAGAAUGAGAAGCUGAGGGCCGCAGGCAGAGAGGAAGAGAAGGUAGAAGAGGAGGGAGGAGCUCUCAGAUUAAUCCUGUGAGUUCAUUACCUGGGAAAGGUGGGUCCAGAAAAGCCAUGUUUGGCAGGUAACGGGCCUUGCCCAAGUGACCCAGCAGCCUCCAGCAUGGCAGCCACCCUGAAUCAACCUAAAGAAGCCCAGUUCCCCAGGGCCUGACGAGUGAGCUUAUAAAGAGCUCAUGGAAACGCACUGCAAUGCCAUUCCCUGUCCCAGCAAGAUGCUUCAAAACCAGGCCCAGAACUAAGCCAACAAGAGGGCGUCUUGAUCCCAGUUCACAAUGCAUGUGGGCAAGUCACCCAGCACCUGCCAGGAGACCUUAGUUCCAUGCAAACUGGGAAGCUCAGUCCCACUGAGUGUGCGGCGCAUUAGUAGAGGUCCACUGGCUCCCAAAGGCUCAGGGAUUUAAGUACUCAGCCUCCACAAUGAGGCUGCUUCAUGCUUCUCUUGCUUCUUCCACUGAAGCGUCCCAAAGUGCUUUCCCAGGAAGGGUUCUCUGUCCCACUACGUGGAUGAGGCUCAGAGAAGCCCAAGUCUUGCCUGCAAUCACCUGGCAAGUCAGUUCCUGAGGUCGGAACUGAGACCCAGACCUCCCAGCCUAGCAUGGCUAUUGGAUGGCAUCCUCCCAGAUGCUAGAGGAGAACAGAGGCCAGAGGGUGAGCCUGCCUGCGUGGGAAAUGAGCCAGGCAAAGGGACUGGGUCUCCUGGGGGGGGGGGGGGGGGCUGUCAGUGACAUUUUCUUUGUAGAUGAAGGGCAUCAGUACUGAGGUGAGUAGUUGUAUAACCGUAAAAUGGCAUUAGAAGAGGCCUUGGGAGAUGUCAAUCCAAUUAUUUUUGUUUCCUGGUGAGGAAAUGGAGAUUCGGAAAGACUAACUCGCUGCUCAAGGUCACAGAGUUGGCCCAGGCCAGAAGGAGGAUUGGAGCCUGUGUAUCUUAAGCAUUGACCCCAUGCUCUUUCCAAAUGCCAGGCAUUCUUACAAUAAUUACCUGUUCUUUGACGGCACCUUGAAAGAAAUCUCAAACCACCAUCUCAAACGUCAGUCAGCUUCUCUCCUCUGCUUUCCUGCCAUCUGCACUAAAAUGGCAUGAAGAAACCAGGAAUGAAGGGGUGGUGUGUGUUGCUCAGACCUGUAAUCUAAGACUCAGAACCCCCUGAAUCUUCCACUCCUUUGGUUUUGGAGCCAAAAUUAACACGACCAUGGAAAGAACGGCUGGGAAAACUCGGACAGGUUCUCGGCGAGCCAGCCUCGGGGAGCUGGUGAAGCUGGUCUCACCGACGUGGUCGGGCCCACUUUGGGGCAGGUCUCUAAGGGAAACGUGUCUGGAACAGUGCCCUCGGGCUGCGUGCCUGGGCCUCCCAUUCCACCAAGCAAUGAUCAUGGCUCUGGGCAGAGGUGGCAGGUGCCAGAGGGAGGCUCUCCCAUCACUCACCCACCAGGUGUUCUUCCCAGCAACCACAGCAGCUUGGCAGGGAGUGCCAUGCGGGGUGCUGGGAUGGGCAAAGGGGUGCAGCCCUCUCUCCUCUGCCAUCCAGGUGUCAACAGAUGGGUUAUAGAUCUGCCCCUCCCUUACCAAAUAAAGACGACUUUUUUAGGCUGACUAAUCCCACACGGGAUAAGCCAGGCUGUCAGUUAUCCAGGUUUCCCAGCCAGGGUCUAACCUCCUUAGGCCCAGAUCACAGAGCCAGGCCCAAUUCCUGUAAGGAGCAGUGUUUUAAGAAGACUGGCCAUCCACAGAGCAACUGUGAGGCUGCACGUUCCCUGCCACAGAGCUAAAGGGGGCCAAGAGUCCUGGGAGCUGCUACUGGCCCUUUAAACACCACCCCCCCCUCCCCCGCCGCCUUGGCAAGUGUCCUGUUCCAGUACCUGCAGUCUUCAUGCUCAUGUCCUGUACAGCCCAUCCUCCCACUCGGCCCAGAGAGAGGAGCGUGGAGCUGCUGAUGAGAGGACCAAAGGAAGGAAAACUCCCCCUUGCUGAGAACGGCCUUAGCCCCAAACUCUCCAUCCUUCUGACUGCUUUCUAACCUCAGUGAAACAGGCCAGACUCUUUGGUCUUUCUCCUCUGUUUUCUGAUCCCUGUCCACUGCCUGGCCUCUGAGCGAGAAGGCUGGGUCCUGACAAGUGAAAAAGGGGCACUGGCGGCAGGCCAGAGACCAGGUUAGAAGCUAAGUCCUUGAGCCCAACUGUCACCUGUGCCACCUGUAAGAGAGAGCGCGUGUGGAGCACUAGACUGGGAAUCAGAUAUCCUGGGGUCACCUGCUUAGAUGUCAUUUACUUUCCUGAGCCUCAGUUUCUUCAUCUGCACAAUGGGGAUAGUCAUAUCUCCCCUCCCCACCUAGUUAUGAGAAUGAAAUGAGGUAGAAUAAAGGAAAGCUUUGACGUCCUCCACUCCAGAUCCAUCUGCACCAUGCUCCCGUGGGCAGUCCUGGCCUUUCACACCUGGCCUGGUUUAGCCACUUCCAGCCCUUCUGAUGGACAAGCUGGGCUCCAGCCGAGGGAGGGUGAACAAGGUAGACCCUGGGCUGCUCACUCGCCCUCGCUCCUUCCUAAAAAUACUCUACAAGCACAGUGCCAGGCCCUGUUCAAAGGUGCAAUGGAAGAAAUCCCUGUCAAGGGGUCAAGGAUGGUGGCAGAGCUCACUCCCUGGUCCAGCCCAUGACAGGGACUGCUUGGGGGCAACACCCAUGGUCUCAGCCUUCAGCCAACACCAACCGACAAAUAACCAUUACUGGUGAGAGAACGCUCUGGGUCUUUCGGGCCCAACCGCCAGCUGAGAACCUGGGAAAAGCAGCAAUCCCACUUCUCUGAAGGUCACCCACCUCCACCUUCUGACUGCAUCAGAAGGGCUGGAAUCUUCGACUCACAGGAGCCUGUUUUUUUGCACAGGGUCAGGCCGGGGUGAGCUGUCAAUCCCCAGCACUGGAGCGGCUCACCUCUGCCUUAGGCAGAAUCUCCAGGUUUUUUUAUCUACCGAGCCAUGAAUUGGCACUUUUCACUGAGGGAUGACUACUGGGCCCUUUAGAGCCUCAUUAAGCUCCGUGACUUAAUGACUCUCCUGUUUAAUAGAAGCAAAAGCUGUUUAAGUGGCCACAGCUGCCAGGAACUUGGGUAAAAGAGCGAAACUUUCCAAGCAGGUCGGGAGCAGCGGCACUAAUCUCGGGCCCACCGCCCCUCCCCCGCCCUCAUCUCGGCCUGUUUUGACAGCACCCCAGCCGGUCCCACAGGAGAGCAGCAGUGCUGCGCCUUCCCCUUUCCACGGCCUUCGAUCUAGCCCAUCAUGUGCCGCAGGGGGGAGGAAGAAACAAUCAAGCAUUGUCUUGUUCUGGCCCGGUGUGUCAGGGCUUCACGAAAUAAAUAUUAUUUGCCUGUGAGGGGAACUGGCUGGGAGACAGCUCUCAGCACAGGGUAAGGGUUGUGGAGGAGGAGGGGCAGGGCGGUGAUGUUUGGCUUUGGUUUUAUUUUGGAGUUUAAUCUCUGGCUCCCUUAGUUCUGCACAUUUUCCUCGCAUCCGCACCAUCGCCACCCCCCGCGACCCCAAACAGGUCAUUAAGCAGGAAGCCAGGGCUGUACAGGGGCUCUGCCAAGAAGACACAAAAGGAAUUUUCUGAAGCCUGUGCCCUUGUCACUCCCUAUCCAGCUCCGCGUGAGCAGAGCGUGUAUAUUCUAGGGACUCUCACAGGCUGAAAAGAACAUCUUGGAGCAUUCCACCUGCCACGGCAGCCCCUCAGCACCCAGAUGUGGUUUGCGGCUCUGUCCUUUAACUUCUCAGCAGCCGCUCCCUCUGUGCCGCUCCCUCUGUGGGUCUGGGGAGACUGGACUCCCAGAUAUCCCAGUCAGGCAGCAUUUAUUGAAUUCCUACUGUGUGCUGUCCACCAGGUGCUUGGGCAUGCUGCAUCUCACUUCGGCCUCCUGUCUUUGCCUCUAGAAAGCCUCACGUCUCUCCAGAAGAAAAAACUAAAGACCAACCACUGACUAUGAGAUGCACACGUAAAGGGCUACUCCAGAAAGGCCUAGCCCCCUGGCCAUCUCAGGAGAAGAAAUGAGUAGGAAACCCAGGCCUCACUGCCUGUGCCAGC